GCCUCGGUAGCGUAGUGGUCAGAGUGUUCGCCUGGUAAGCGGCACGGGUUCGAAUCCUAACCGAGACA
rnacentral:tRNA from 1 species